ACACAAUCAUCGCCUUGGAAGCUUCAUCACGAUGCUAGUUUGCAUUUCUGAAGAGGGAAGAAGAAAUCAAUAUGCAAAUUCAAUUCCAUGGUUUUGGAAGUCCCAUUGAGAACACGAUUCAUUUGCGCCGGCAUAAUGCUCUGACCGAGAAAGAAUUGAAGAACCUACCCCGGAAGAGAGAGCCCAGAGAAUUGCCAAAGCUGUCCUCAAACUGUCAACAGAAGUGAAGGAAAAUUGGGAGCAAUUGAAAACCCGUGCAAGCAACUGGCAGAAACAGGUGGAAAAGGCGUUGGAGAAACUUCAAGAACUGCAGAAAGCUCUGGAUGAUCUUGAGGCUCAUGUGAUAACAGCUGAGGGGGUCCACACUGAUUGGCAACCUGUGGGUGACCUGCUUAUUGACUCAUUGCAGGAUCACAUUGAUAAAACCACAGGUAAGGACUAUCUGCAAAAUCUGAGAUUGGGUUUUGAAAGACAGCAGCCUUUGUUUUGGAGAGAUAAUGGGAACUGCAGAUGCUGGAGAAUGCGAGAUAACACCGUGUGGAACUGGACGAAGACAGCAGGCCAAGCAUCAUCUUAGGAGCACAAAAGCUGAUGUUUCGGGCCGAGAACCACCUUCAGAAAAUGGGGAGGGGGUGCGGGUUCUGGAUUAAAUAGGGAGAGAGGGGGAGGCGGAUGGAAGAUGGAUGGAGGAGAAGGUAGGUGGAGAGGAGAGUAUGGGUAGGGAGGCAGGGAGGGGAUAGGUCAGUCUGGGGAGGCGGGACAGGUCAAGGGAGCGGGAUGAGGGGAAAUAGGGGUGCGGCAUGAGGUGGGAGGGGGGAUGGGUGAGAGGAAGAAUAGGUUAGGGAGGCGGGGACGAGCUGGGCUGGUUUCGGGAUGCAGUGGGAGGACAGGAGAUUUGGAAGCUUGUGAAAUCCACACUGAUACCAUUGGGCUGCAGGGUUCCCAAGCAGAAUAUGAGUUGCUGUUCCUGCAACCUUCGGGUGGCGUCAUUAUGGCACUGCAGGA